rnacentral:rRNA from 1 species
AUGUGCUCCCGUGUGGAGCCAGUCACCGUGCCAGAGCUGUACUCACAGCUUGAUAGCUUCAAGACACGGAUGAACCUUCGCCAUGGAGGAUCGCAGUCCUCGGCGAACGCGGCAACACGUGGGCGUGGCCGCGGAGGUGGUGACCGCGGCCGCGGCAGACAAGGCGGCGGCAACACUGGUGGCGAUCGCGGCCGUUCCUACACCAAGCAAAACGGUCACGAUGGAGGUGGCAGGGGCAACUACAACAACUCUGCUCCUGCCCCCAAGGUUGUGUGCCAGAUCUGUGGCAAGCCCGGCCACCCGGCCUGGAAGUGCUGGAAGCGCUAUGACGAGUCGCACCAGGGAGAAGAAGAGAAGUAUGCCAACAUGGUGGCUCCACAGUACGGGAUUGACUCCAACUGGUACCUGGAUAGUGGCACAACCGACCACAUCACUGGCGAUCUGGAGAAGCUGAUGGUGCGGGACAGGUACACCGGCGACGAACAGAUUCACACUACAAGCGGUUCAGGGAACAAGGAAGGUUCUACUUCGAGGCAGGGGUAG